UGAACGCUGGCGGCGUGCCUAAUACAUGCAAGUCGAGCGAACAGACGAGGAGCUUGCUCCUCUGACGUUAGCGGCGGACGGGUGAGUAACACGUGGAUAACCUACCUAUAAGACUGGGAUAACUUCGGGAAACCGGAGCUAAUACCGGAUAAUAUAUUGAACCGCAUGGUUCAAUAGUGAAAGACGGUUUUGCUGUCACUUAUAGAUGGAUCCGCGCCGCAUUAGCUAGUUGGUAAGGUAACGGCUUACCAAGGCAACGAUGCGUAGCCGACCUGAGAGGGUGAUCGGCCACACUGGAACUGAGACACGGUCCAGACUCCUACGGGAGGCAGCAGUAGGGAACCUUCCGCAAUGGGCGAAAGCCUGACGGAGCAACGCCGCGUGAGUGAUGAAGGUCUUCGGAUCGUAAAACUCUGUUAUUAGGGAAGAACAAAUGUGUAAGUAACUAUGCACGUCUUGACGGUACCUAAUCAGAAAGCCACGGCUAACUACGU
rnacentral:rRNA from 1 species